rnacentral:tRNA from 1 species
AGGGAAAUAGCUCAGUGGCAGAGCACUUGUUUACUAUGCAUGAGACCCUGGGUUCAAUUCCCCGUACCACCA